UGACUAAUCGCGUACCAUUGCAUAGCCGU
rnacentral:sRNA from 1 species